rnacentral:rRNA from 1 species
CCUACGGAUGGCAGCAGUGAGGAAUAUUGGUCAAUGGGCGUAAGCCUGAACUAGCCAAGUCGCGUGAGGGAUGAAGGUUCUAUGGAUCGUAAACCUCUUUUAUAAGGGAAUAAAGUGCGGGACGUGUCCCGUUUUGUAUGUACCUUAUGAAUAAGGAUCGGCUAACUCCGUGCCAGCAGCCGCGGUAAUACGGAGGAUCCGAGCGUUAUCCGGAUUUAUUGGGUUUAAAGGGUGCGUAGGCGGCCGUUUAAGUCAGCGGUGAAAGUCUGUGGCUCAACCAUAGAAUUGCCGUUGAAACUGGGAGGCUUGAGUAUGUGUGAGGCAGGCGGAAUGCGUGGUGUAGCGGUGAAAGGCUUAGAUAUCACGCAGAACCCCGAUUGCGAAGGCAGCCUGCCAAGCCAUGACUGACGCUGAUGCACGAAAGCGUGGGGAGCAAACAGGAUUAGAUACCCGAGUAGUC